rnacentral:rRNA from 1 species
UCGACUCUAAGCCAUGCGAGUCAUUGUAGCAAUACAAGGCAGACGGCUCAGUAACGCGUAGUCAAUCUACCCUAUGGACGGGAAUAACCUCGGGAAACUGAGAAUAAUGCCCGAUAGAACAUUAUGCCUGGAAUGGUUUAUGUUUCAAAUGAUUUAUCGCCAUAGGAUGGGACUGCGGCCUAUCAGUUUGUUGGUGAGGUAAUGGCCCACCAAGACUAUUACAGGUACGGGCUCUGAGAGGAGUAGCCCGGAGAUGGGUACUGAGACACGGACCCAGGCCCUAUGGGGCGCAGCAGGCGAGAAAACUUUGCAAUGUGCGAAAGCACGACAAGGUUAAUCCGAGUGGUUUCUGCUAAAGAAACCUUUUGUCAGUCCUAGAAACACUGACGAAUAAGGGGUGGGCAAGUUCUGGUGUCAGCCGCCGCGGUAAAACCAGCACCUCAAGUGGUCAGGAUGAUUAUUGGGCCUAAAGCAUCCGUAGCUCGUUUUGUAAGUUUUCGGUUAAAUCCAUGCGCUUAACGUAUGGGCUGCCGGGAAUACUGCAUAACUAGGAAGUGGGAGAGGUAGACGGUACUCGGUAGGAAGGGGUAAAAUCCUUUGAUCUAUUGAUGACCACCUGUGGCGAAGGCGGUCUACCAGAACACGUUCGACGGUGAGGGAUGAAAGCUGGGGGAGCAAACCGGAUUAGAUACCCUGGUAGUCCCAGCUGUAAACUAUGCAAACUCAGUGAUGCAUUGGCUUGUGGCCAAUGCAGUGCUGCAGGGAAGCCGUUAAGUUUGCCGCCUGGGAAGUACGUACGCAAGUAUGAAACUUAGAGGAAUUGGCGGGGGAGCACCACAAGGGGUGAAGCCUGCGGUUCAAUUGGAGUCAACGCCAGAAAUCUUACCCGGAGAGACAGCAGAAUGAAGGUCAAGCUGAAGACUUUACCAGACAAGCUGAGAGGAGGUGCACUCCAAUA